UGCAUCCGAGGCACUCUAUAAUCCAGAUGUGUCUAAUGUGGAUAUGGAACCAUACAGUCAUUGGAGUCUAAACUUUCGAAGAAACUCGAGAUUACAGAGAAUGAAAAAGAGGACAACGACGAAGAAGAAGAAGGAAGCAAAGCUGAGACUUCAACUACAAAGAAGAAGAAAAACAAGAAUAAAAGCAAGAAAAAACCCCAGCAGACUGAUCCGCCUACAAUCCCUAUCGUGAAAUUUUUCCCAUCCGGAGACUUUCGUUAAGGUGAAAUCCAACAGUAUAAGGAUGAGUAAGUUCCAUACCAACAACUCUAUUCGGACCAGCUUUAUAGUAUGCAAUAAGCUUGUGGAUUUAGUUCAUAUAGCUUCUGUCUUUGCAUCUGUUAAACUCCAUCGUAUUUUUAGUCUUUUUCUUUUCAAUACUUUUUUUCUUCUCUUGUUACCUUUAUGACACUUUAAGAUCGUGAUCUCUGUAAUGUAGCAAUUUGUUGGUGUUUUAUAAUGAUACCACAUUUAA